CGCUGGAAUAUAUAACAAUCAUUCAGCCAGGGCGCGUUAGCCAGCAGCGCGGAGGAGGUACGCGAGAGCAACACAGCGAGCUCGCUCUGCUGCCGACACAGCAGUGUGUGUGUCCACUCUAUUACUGAUGUUAGCGACCCGCUGCAAUAUAUAACAAUCAUUCAGCCAGGGCGCGUUAGCCAGCAGCGCGGAAGAGACACGCGAGAGCAACACAGCGAGCUCGCUCUGCUGCCGACACAGCAGUGUGUGUGUCCACUCUAUUACUGAUGUUAGCGACCCGCUGCAAUAUAUCAAAAUUAUUUU
rnacentral:lncRNA from 1 species